rnacentral:rRNA from 1 species
AUUGAACGCUGGCGGCAUGCUUUACACAUGCAAGUCGAACGGCAGCGGGGGCUUCGGCCUGCCGGCGAGUGGCGAACGGGUGAGUAAUGCAUCGGAACGUGCCCAUGUCGUGGGGGAUAACUACGCGAAAGCGUGGCUAAUACCGCAUACGCCCUGAGGGGGACAGCGGGGGAUCUUUCGGGACCUCGCGAUUGGAGCGGCCGAGGUCGGAUUAGCUAGUUGGUGGGGUAAAGGCUCACCAAGGCGACGAUCCGUAGCUGGUCUGAGAGGAUGAUCAGCCACACUGGGACUGAGACACGGCCCAGACUCCUACGGGAGGCAGCAGUGGGGAAUUUUGGACAAUGGGCGCAAGCCUGAUCCAGCCAUGCCGCGUGAGUGAAGAAGGCCUUCGGGUUGUAAAGCUCUUUCGGCCGGGAAGAAAUCGCAUUCUCUAAUAUAGGAUGUGGAUGACGGUACCGGACUAAGAAGCACCGGCUAACUACGUGCCAGCCGCCGCCGUAAUAC